UCUACGGGUGGCAGCAGUGGGGAAUAUUGCACAAUGGGGGAAACCCUGAUGCAGCGACGCCGCGUGAGUGAAGAAGUAUUUCGGUAUGUAAAGCUCUAUUAGCAGGGAAGAAAAUGACGGUACCUGACUAAGAAGCCCCGGCUAACUACGUGCCAGCAGCCGCGGUAAUACGUAUGGAGCAAGCGUUAUCCGGAUUUACUGGGUGUAAAGGGAGCGUAGGCGGGAGGGCAAGUCUGAAGUGAAAUGCCAGGGCUUAACCAUGGGACUGCAUUGGAAACUGUGCAGCUGGAGUGCAGGAGAGGCAAGCGGAAUUCCUAGUGUAGCGGUGAAAUGCGUAGAUAUUAGGAGGAACACCAGUGGCGAAGGCGGCUUACUGGACUGUAACUGACGCUGAGGCUCGAAAGCGUGGGGAGCAAACAGGAUUAGAUACCCCAGUAGUC
rnacentral:rRNA from 1 species